rnacentral:rRNA from 1 species
CCCUUAGAUGUUCUGGGCCGCACGCGCGCUACAAUGAUGAAUUCAACGAGUUUAUAACCUUGGUUGAAAAGCCUGGGUAAUCUUUUGAACUUUCGUCGUGAUGGGGCUAGACCCUUGCAAUUAUUGGUCUCCAACGAGGAAUUCCUAGUAAACGCAAGUCAUCAGCUUGCAUUGAUUACGUCCCUGCCCUUUGUACACACCGCCCGUCGCACCUACCGAUUGAAUGGUCCGGUGAAAUCUUCGGAUUGAGACUUUGUUUUCUUCACGAAAAACGCUGUUUUAAAAAGUUGAUUAAACCUUACCAUUUAGAGGAAGGUGAAGUCGUAACA